CAAUUACAGCCACUACUUCAAGACCAUUGAAGACCUGCGGGACAAGAUUCUUGGUGUCACCAUUGAGAACUCCCGGAUUGUCUUGCAGAUUGACACCCGCCGCCUGGCUGCAGAUC
rnacentral:pre_miRNA from 2 species